UGCGGAUGCUGGAAAGCUGAGUGAUGACUGGCCUUUAUGGAAAGGCCAGAAAGAGGUUUGGGGCGCAGGGAGCCCGCAGGUGGGGGUCAGCAGGACGCAGCUGUGGGUUCUUGGUCACCUUCCCCUGCCUGAAGCACCUGGCACGCUGAGCAGCAAGUCACUCCUCCCCAGAGGGGGCACCGCCAGGCGGGCAUGCCAGGCAGGCGGGUGGGGCCAAUCCCUCGCUGUUUAUGAUGUGCGCCUGGACUUGGGUCCAUCACAAACGGACGCACCAACCCGGUCACUUGGACGCAGCCUGCAGCAGCGGCAGCUGACAGGCGACGGCCAUAAACACGGCCGGCCAGCGCCGGGCACCACGCUCAGCGGCAGCGGGCCGCUCCCACGACGACCCCGACCAAGGUUCACUUGACAGCCCCUGCCUCAGUGCGUGGCCCCGCCAGCAACACCCCAGAAGGGAGCCUCGGGAAUCGGCCACUGUCAUCAGGAUGAGCUUGUGCCGGGCACAGGGCGCAAGGCGGCCAACCGCCCAGGUGGCACCCUGAGCUGCCCUUCCUGUUCUCAUGCCCGCAGGGAUCUAAGCGCAAGGACAGAGCAGAGCAGGGCAGGCCAGGCCCGUUGUCCUGAUCAACACCGACAGCUCCUGAUGCUGGAUUCUCCUGGGGGGAGGGUGCCCCACAGACCUGGGCCCAGGGGCACGUAGAGGCCUCCGACAGGGCGCUGAAGAGGGGACCCCCGCUCUCACACAGGCCCCUCCAUAACCUCACACCCUCUUCCUGCUGGCUGAGUCGCACACCCACCACCUCCCCCUGACCCACCUCCAGCACCCUGACCCUGGCCCCACGACCACUGAAGGCUACGCCCCAGGGCCACUGCAAGGGGGACAGUCCCCAGGGCAGCCUCCAACCUCCCCACCCCUCAGAGCAGCCUCAGCAGCGUGUGGGAUUUCAAGAUUCACAUGCCCAGACCUGCUGAGCCAGAGGUGAGACAGGGGCACCUGUGUGGCUCACCCCCCACCAGACGAGGGACCCAGCAGCUGUGUGGCUCACUCCCCACCAGACUGGGGACCCAGCAGCCGUGUGGUUCACAUCCUCCCCCAGGAGACCAGGGGGGAGCAUCUGUGUGAUUCACCACCCCCGACCAGGGGACCAGGGACCCAGCACCUAUGUGGCUCACCCCCUGCUCCCCACCAGAGGGCUCAGGUUGAAAGCUGCCCCUUGCCUCUGAGCCCCAGCCCUCCUGGGACAACUUCUCUGGGACAGCUGGCCACCACCAGGUUAGGGGCUUGCCGC
rnacentral:lncRNA from 1 species